AUUGAACGCUGGCGGCAGGCCUAACACAUGCAAGUCGAGCGGAGCGGCGGACGGGUGAGUAAUGCCUAGGAAUCUGCCUGGUAGUGGGGGACAACGUCCGGCAACGGGCGCUAAUACCGCAUACUAUCAGAUGAGCCUAGGUCGGAUUAGCUAGUUGGUGGGGUAAAGGCCUACCAAGGCGACGAUCCGUCACUGAUCUGAGAGGAUGAUCAGUCACACUGGGACUGAGACACGGUCCAGACUCCUACGGGAGGCAGCAGUGGGGAAUAUUGGACAAUGGGCGAAAGCCUGAUCCAGCCAUGCCGCGUGUGUGAAGAAGGUCUUCGGAUUGUAAAGCACUGUAAUUUGGGAGGCGUUAUCAACAGAAUAAGCACCGGCUAACUGCGUGCCAGCAGCCGCGGUAAUUC
rnacentral:rRNA from 1 species